UCGUGAUUCUACUCCCCUGUGAUCUCCUAGGAAGCUUCACUUGACAGGGUCACUGUCAUUCGGGGACGUGGCUGUGGGCUUCACCCGGAAAGAGUGGCAGCAGCUGGACCUGGAGCAGAGGACCCUGUACCAGGAUGUGAUGCUGGAGAACUACAGCCACCUGCUCUCUGUGGGCUGAACUGUCUGCUUGCUUGGAAGGCCCAGCUGGCUCAGCACAAAUCCUUUAACCGUUUCUCCCCAAGAGGGUGUCAAGUCAGCAAACCAGCUGUGAUCUCCAGUUUGGAGCAGGGGAAGGAGCCAUGGAUGGAGGAGGAAGAGAUAAGGACGUGGAGCUUCCCAGAAAGCUGACUUCAUGAGACCGAGGAUCUCGUUCGUUGAUCGAUGCUACAUAUUCAGCAUGUUAGAUAAUGAGGUUGGUGAGAUUGAUGAAAUCCCGCCCACCAGGGCCGACCCACAAAGAGCCACUUUAUGAAGAACAUGCUCCUGAACUCCACUCCACAACCAGCUUUUGAAAAGAAAAAUCUGAAAAAAUUUGACCUCAGUUAAACUGGUCCAAAUGCCUGAGCAUAACCAAAAUCUUUCCUCAUUCACUCUUCACGUGGACCGUGUUUAAUUUGGUUGCUGGUGAUCAUAUUUGUUUUAGUAAAGGCUGUCACUCUAUCUUGGGCGAAGAUUUGGGUUCUGUGGA
rnacentral:lncRNA from 10 species